GACGAACGCUGGCGGCGUGCUUAACACAUGCAAGUCGUACGGUAAGGCUCUUUCGGGGGUACACGAGUGGCGAACGGGUGAGUAACACGUGAGUAACCUGCCCACAACUUUGGGAUAACGCUAGGAAACUGGUGCUAAUACUGGAUAUGUGCUCCUGCUGCAUGGUGGGGGUUGGAAAGCUCCGGCGGUUGUGGAUGGACUCGCGGCCUAUCAGCUUGUUGGUGGGGUAGUGGCCUACCAAGGCGGCGACGGGUAGCCGGCCUGAGAGGGUGACCGGCCACAUUGGGACUGAGAUACGGCCCAGACUCCUACGGGAGGCAGCAGUGGGGAAUAUUGCACAAUGGGCGCAAGCCUGAUGCAGCAACGCCGCGUGCGGGAUGACGGCCUUCGGGUUGUAAACCGCUUUCAGCAGGGACGAAGCUUUUUGUGACGGUACCUGCAGAAGAAGCACCGGCUAACUACGUG
rnacentral:rRNA from 1 species